rnacentral:lncRNA from 1 species
GUCCACGUGACUUCGUCCUCAAGCCGUUUCAUCGCGGGAAGCCUGGUGUGCUCUGCAGUUUCCCAGUGUUCUGAUCAUCUCAAGACCAAUAAUAUCCCAGUUUCCUUUUGUUGUUGAUUUUGGCCUUAGAUAAGCAAACGUGAUGAGGCAAAGUGUGUGUGAUACUUCACACAGUAUCUGAUGAGUAACAGAAUGAGCACUGCAGAGGACAGUACUAUUAUUUUUACAAUCUGUCCUCGCCUUCUUUUCUUUAGGAAGGGGCCUGGAGAUGCCAGCACCAUUGAGUUCCAGAGCACAGAUAUUCAUUGGAUAAUUACUACAUUACAUCCAUCAUCUGAUUUACUCUCCGUGUGUAACUGGAUGAGCAUUAUCACCAUCAGAAUGCAGAUGCAGGUACCAAAAGGGCUGCAUCUGGGAAGAAAGUACAUCUGGGAAGAAAGAAGUCUGAGCUUCCUAUAAGCCAAGGCAAAGAGAGAAACAAGACCAGUUAUGACACCCACAGUGUUCAUUGGAUAAGGACGUGACAUUUUGUCAAAUGAAGUCAUAUGAUAUAUUUACUUUUCAGAUGCUUAUUAUCUAUUCUCUCACUAGCAUGAACAUUCCAUACAGGAAAGGUUUUUGUUUAAUUAUUUGCUAUAUCCUUGAUGCCAGAACAGUGCCUGGUAUAUAGUAAGUGCUCAAUAAAUGUUUGCUGAUUUUAAAAAUAAAUAAAUAAAUAAAUAAAUAAAAUUUGAGGUUCUUCCCACUCUGGAAAUCAACAGGUCAAUAUGGUUGAUCAACUCCUGUUUUCAUUUAUGGAUACAAUGUACUUCAUUCUAAAAAGCAUUUGAGGUGACUCCAGAAAUAUAUAAUAUUAAAAGAACAAAACAAAAUCAAGUCUAAAUGACAAAGAGAAUUGCCUAAGAUGAUAAAGCACAGAGAAUCAGUAUGCAGAUGCAGGUACCACAAGGGCUGUACUAAGAUUUUCAAAAUGGGAAGAAAAUACAUGUCUGAGCUUCCUAUACACCAAGGCAAAGAGAGACACAUGGCCAGUAAUGGCACCCACAGUCCUCAUUAGACAAAGGGGUGACAUAUUCUCAAAUGUAGUCCUAUUUCUUUUUGGUGGGUAAAGACG